GGGCCCGCACAAGCGGUGGAGUAUGUGGUUUAAUUCGAUGCAACGCGAAGAACCUUACCAGGGUUUGACAUCCUGCGAAUCUCUUGGAAACGAGAGAGUGCCUUCGGGAACGCAGUGACAGGUGGUGCAUGGCUGUCGUCAGCUCGUGUCGUGAGAUGUUGGGUUAAGUCCCGCAACGAGCGCAACCCACGUCUUUAGUUGCCAGCGGUUCGGCCGGGGACUCUAAAAAGACUGCCGGUUAUAAACCGGAGGAAGGCGGGGAUGACGUCAAGUCAGCAUGCCCCUUACACCCUGGGCUACACACGUGCUACAUUGGGCGAGACAAUGAGAUGCAAACCUGCGAGGGUAAGCU
rnacentral:rRNA from 1 species